rnacentral:rRNA from 1 species
GAUGAACGCUAGCUACAGGCUUAACACAUGCAAGUCGAGGGGCAGCAUGAUUGAAGCUUGCUUCAAUUGAUGGCGACCGGCGCACGGGUGAGUAACGCGUAUCCAACCUUCCGUACACUCAGGGAUAGCCUUUCGAAAGAAAGAUUAAUACCUGAUGGUAUGAUGAGAUUGCAUGAUAACAUCAUUAAAGAUUUAUCGGUGUACGAUGGGGAUGCGUUCCAUUAGGUAGUAGGCGGGGUAACGGCCCACCUAGCCUACGAUGGAUAGGGGUUCUGAGAGGAAGGUCCCCCACAUUGGAACUGAGACACGGUCCAAACUCCUACGGGAGGCAGCAGUGAGGAAUAUUGGUCAAUGGACGAGAGUCUGAACCAGCCAAGUAGCGUGAAGGAUGAAGGUCCUACGGAUUGUAAACUUCUUUUAUAAGGGAAUAAAACCUCCCACGUGUGGGAGCUUGUA